rnacentral:rRNA from 1 species
GAUGAACGCUGGCGGCGUGCCUAAUACAUGCAAGUCGAGCGAACAGACGAGGAGCUUGCUCCUCUGACGUUAGCGGCGGACGGGUGAGUAACACGUGGAUAACCUAUCUAUAAGACUGGGAUAACUUCGGGAAACCGGAUCUCAUACCGGAUAAUAUAUUGAACCGCAUGGUUCAAUAGUGAAAGACGGUUUUGCUGUCACUUAUAGAUGGAUCCGCGCCGCAUUAGCUAGUUGGUAAGGUAACGGCUUACCAAGGCUACGAUGCGUAGCCGACCUGAGAGCGUGAUCAGCCACACUGGAACUGAGACACGGUCCAGACUCCUACGGGAGGCAGCAGUAGGGAAUCUUCCGCAAUGGGCGAAAGCCUGACGGAGCAACGCCGCGUGAGUGAUGAAGGUCUUCGGAUCGUAAAACUCUGUUAUUAGGGAAGAACAAAUGUGUAAGUAACUAUGCACGUCUUGACGGUACCUAAUCAGAAAGCCACGGCUAACUACGUG